UAAGACGCUAUCUUAUUUUCAGAAAACAUGGUAGUAAUGUAACAGCAGCUCUCUAUUGGAUAUAGAUAUUAUGGAAGUGACCAAUUCUAAUUCCCAAGGAUGUAAAUCCACUUGUGUAAUUAAGUCAGUUUUGAAUGAGAAACGUCCUACUAGAAUCUUACUGAUUAUGGGCCUUGGGUUCCUUGAUUGAGUCUAUCCAUCUAGAUCAGUGGUUCUCAACCUGGUGUCCCCAGAUGCUUUUGGCCGACAAUUCCCAGAAAUCCCAGCCAGUUACCAGCUAUUAGGAUUUCUGGAAGAUGAAGUCUAAAAACAUCUGGGGACCCCAGGUUGAGAACCACUGAUCUAGAAUGCAGUCUUCUUCUUUUCUUACUGCCUAUGCUUUACCAAUGGAGCCUCCGGUGGCUCAGUGUGUUAAAGCGCUGAGCUGCUGAACUUGCAGACCGAAAGGUCCCAGGUUCAAAUCCCAGGAGCGGAAUGAGCGCCCGCUGUUACCUUCCUGCCGGAGCAGUACCUAUUGAUCUACUCACAUUGGCAUGUUUUCGAACUGCUAGGUUGGCAGGAGCUGGAGCCAACAGCAGCCGCUCCCGCCGCUCCUGCGAUUUGAACCUGGGACCUUUCGGUCUGCAAGUUCAGCGCUUUAAUGCACUUAGCCACAGCUCCAAAAAAAAAAGAGACCACACAGAUGUAAUAUCAAUGAACUACAACCUAUCCUAGACAAUAACACUAUGUAACCAAAUUUAAAAAGAAAUUCUCUUCCUGGUUUGAAAGUGUUAUUCCUGUUUAAUUGUGUGAUACAUACUUUGAAAGUAGUUGUUAUACUCCAGAAACUUCAUUUUUGUGGAUACCACAAACUAUGUUGAAUUGCUUGAGACUCGCUGAAAAACUAUAGCAAAAUGUGCUGCAGGAUGUCCCUCAAAAACAAGAUUUUGCAGUUUAAUAAACGUUUUCCAUGUUUUUAUGAUAGAACCAAUUAGGAAAUGGCAUUUAUAACCCAGGAACCAACAUUGUGUUAGAUAGUGUCAUGCUUCCCUCCCAAGAACAUUGGUGGCAGGCCUUUACAAUCCCUAACAUACCUACAGGACAGCACACAACAUUGUGGAAAAAUAGGUAUAAGAUCUGGUUGCAAACCCAGAAGCCAACCUUGCUCGCACAUCUUCUCCAGAAAUGUUACCACAUCACUAACAAUGUUAGAGGUAUUUUCAUUGGCUCAUUUCCAAACGGGUAGUCACUAAUAUAGAUUUCCAUUCUGAACAUUUGAAAUAUGGGUAUGGUGAUUUAUUGAAAAAUAUCUUCUGCAUCUACUGAUAAGGAUUUUUCAUUCCUUCUCCUAAUAAUCCCUGCAUCGAGUAAUCCAUGCUUUCAUUGCAAACAAUGUUUUAAAAAAUCUUCAACCAAAUAAUAAUGCCAGCUUCUUUAAGAUUUGUUAGUGUUUGGGCUGUAAUAAAAUCAUCAGAACUCAUUUAACAGUGACUCACUGAGUUGCAAGAAGUUUUUCCAUCUAACUCGUAUGAGAGUUAUAAGCAUUUUCCAUUCCCAUUUAUAGUCUCAGGU
ensembl:lncRNA